rnacentral:rRNA from 1 species
CCUACUGGGGGCAGCAGUGAGGAAUAUUGGUCAAUGGGCGAGAGUCUGAACCAGCCAAGUCGCGUGAGGGAGUACUGCUCUAUGGGUUGUAAACCUCUUUUGUCGGGGAGCAAAAGCCGGACGUGUCCGGCUGUGAGAGUACCCGAAGACAAAGCAUCGGCUAACUUCGUGCCAGCAGCCGCGGUAAUACGGAGGAUGCGAGCGUUAUCCGGAUUUAUUGGGGUAAAAGGGUGCGCAGGCGGAUUUUUAAGUCAUCGGUCAAAUCGUGGGGCUCAACCCCAUCCAGCCGUUGAAACUGGGGAUCUAGAGUGUGCGAGAGGGAUGCGGAAUGCGUGGUGUAGCGGUGGAAUGCAUAGAUAUCGCGCGGAACCCCGAUGGCGAAGGCAGCAUACCGGUGCACAACUGACGCUCAGGCACGAAAGCGUGGGUAUCGAACAGGAUUAGAUACCCGAGUAGUC